GAGGAUAUAGCUCAGUGGUAGAGCACAUGCACUUAGCAUGUACAAGGUCCUGAGUUCAAUCCCCAGUACCUCCA
rnacentral:tRNA from 1 species